rnacentral:lncRNA from 1 species
GAGGAACGAGCCAAGCUCAAAGCCACUUUUGGGAAAUCAGAAUCAUCAUCUUCCUCUGAAUCAAGUGACAGCGAAUGUGGGGAGGUAGUUGACAUGAAAGCCCUGAGAAACAAUGCUUUGAAACCUUCCCUAGAGUCAGAAACACCAAUUGGCAAUGCUUUGAAACGACCCGAAGAGAUAGUUAUAGAAGCUCCAACGGUGGCAGAGGAAGCAACAUUAGCUAACUCGCUCAUGGAACUAGAAAACUCAGAUUCAAGCCCCCAAAUUCGGAUACGAGUUCCUCUUACUGGAUUGGAUGGUGAAUGUUGCAGUUCA